rnacentral:rRNA from 1 species
UACGAAGGGGGCUAGCGUUGUUCGGAAUUACUGGGCGUAAAGGGCGCGUAGGCGGCCAACUAAGUUAAGCGUGAAAGCCCAGGGCUCAACUCUGGAAUUGCGCUUAAUACUGGUAGGCUUGAGUACGGGAGAGGAUAGUGGAAUUCCCAGUGUAGAGGUGAAAUUCGUAGAUAUUGGGAAGAACACCAGUGGCGAAGGCGGCUAUCUGGACCGUAACUGACGCUGAGGCGCGAAAGCGUGGGGAGCAAACAGG